AGAUGGGGUUCUUCGCAGAGGCUGGGCCUGUUCAGAUCUUCGUGUCAAAUCAUCUGAUUCCUGAUGAUAUGGAGUUCCAAUCUGGUGAUGUGCCAAACUACACAACUUCUGAUGGAUCGGAUCCUGCCACUAGACGUUCUUGUGCACUUUCCUCAUGACACGGUUGGUGGAGGGCUUACUGGAGAAACAAGCUGUUCAUGGCACCGUUGCUGAUGUCCCCGCCUGUUAGCCCAGGAGUGUAGCAUCUACAGGUAUCAUGUAAAUGCGUGUCCCAUGCUGUUAAUUGGAUUAUUGCAAUUAUUUGAGUGGCUCAAACUUCCUGGAUAGUGAUAUUGAAGGGAUUUCUACUGUAUGAAGUUUAGGCGAUGAAGAUGAUAAGAAGAUUCUUGACUAUACAAAGC